CGGGUGAGUAAUGUAUGGGGAUCUGCCUGAUGGCGGGGGAUAACUACUGGAAACGGUAGCUAAUACCGCAUAACGUCGCAAGACCAAAGAGGGGACCUUCGGGCCUCUUGCCAUCGGAUGUGCCCAGAUGGGAUUAGCUAGUAGGUGGGGUAACGGCUCACCUAGGCGACGAUCCCUAGCUGGUCUGAGAGGAUGAUCAGCCACACUGGGACUGAGACACGGCCCAG
rnacentral:rRNA from 1 species